rnacentral:rRNA from 1 species
UCACAGGUGGGUGAGUAGAAUAUACUAAGGCGUAAGAGUGAACCCCCGUUAAGGAACUCGGCAAUCUAGCCCCGUAACUUCGGGAGAAGGGGUGCCCCCCUUUGGGGGGGCCGCAGUGAAUGGGCCCAACCGACUGUUUAUCAAAAACACAGCACUCUGCCAAGACGCAAGUCCAAGUAUAGGGUGUGACACGUGACCAAUGCGGAAAGAUUAAGGCAAGCGGUUAGUCGCAAGGCGAAGCUGUGAACCUAAGUCCCCGUGAAUGUCGGCCGUAACGAGAACGGUCCUAAGGUAGCGAAAUUCCUUGUCGGGUAAGUUCCGACCUGCACGAAUCGUGUAACGAGUUGGGCGCUGUCUCAACGGGGUGCUCAGUGAAUUUGUAUUGGCGGUGAAGAUGCCGCCUACCCGUGGAAGGACGGAAAGACCCUAUGCACCUUAACUGUACUCUGUCACUGUUGUUUCGGUUUUCAUGCUCAGUGUAAGUGGGAGACUUUGAGGCAGCCCUUUCGGGGGUUGCUGAGUCGUCAAUGAGACACCACCCUUGGGGAUUGAAACAUCUAACACCGGUCCCGUGAAUCCGGGCGGAGGACAAUGGCAGACGGUCAGUUUUACUGGGGCGGUAUCCUCCCAAAGAGUAACGGAGGAGCGCGAUGGUUGGUUCAACCUGGUUGGCAAUCAGGUGACGAGUGCAUUGGCAUAAACCAGCCUAACUGUGAGACCUACAAGUCGAGCAGAUGCGAAAGCAGGUCAAAGUGAUCCGGCGCUUGAAAAUGGAAUCGGCGUCGCUCAACGGACAAAAGGUACGCUAGGGAUAACAGGCUGAUUUUGCCCAAGAGUUCAUAUCGACGGCAAAGUUUGGCACCUUGAUGUCGGCUCGUCACAUCCUGGGGCUGGAGAAGGUCCCAAGGGUCCGGCUGUUCGCCGGUUAAAGUGGCACGCGAGCUGGGUUCAGAACGUCGCGAGACAGUUCGGUCCUCUAUCCUCCAUGGCGCAGGAAAAUUGCGGGGUUCAGUCCUUAGUACGAGAGGACCGGGACUGACGCACCUCUGGUGUUCCAGUUGUCUUGUCAAAGGCAUCGCUGGGCAGCUAUGUGCGGAAGGGAUAAGCGCUGAAAGCAUCUAAGCGCCAAGCCCAUCCCAAGAUAAGUUUUCCCUGAAGGAUCGUGGCAGACUACCACGUCGAUAGGAUGCGGGUGUAAGUGCAGCAAUGCAUUCAGCUUAGCAUUACUAAUCAUCCGUUCGGCUC